CUUCGAGGUAUUGAAAUAAGGCUUUAAUUGGGUGCUAAGAGAAUGGUUGAACAAGGAUCAACUUUCUUUUUUUUUAAAGUAGAAAUUGAUUUAAAAAUGAAAAAGUUUUUAUUAAUGUUUGGGACAAGAAGACCCUAUGAAUUUUUUUUAAAGUUUUUAUUUUUUGACUUUAAAGUAGAAAAAGAAGGAUUUUAAGUUAAUUGGGGUGAUUUUUAAAGAGUAAAGAUCUUUAAAAAAGAAAAAUUUGAUCUUAAAUUUUAAAUUGUUUGUUAAAAAUACUCUAGGGAUAACAGCGUAAUUAUUUUGGACAGUUCAAAUAGAUAAGAUAGUUUGCGACCUCGAUGUUGGAUUAAGAUGCUUUUAUGAUGUAGCAGUUAUAGUAAGGAGUUUGCUCAACUUUUUAAGUCUUACUUGAUCUGGUUCAGACCGG
rnacentral:rRNA from 1 species